rnacentral:lncRNA from 1 species
GGAUGCCUGACCCAUACCCAAGUGUCGAGGGAUUUGCACAGAAAAAUCAUCUUUCCAGUCCAUUAAGAGAAAGAGAAAAGGAGGGGGAAAAUGAAAGACCAGUUCAUUUUUUGGAGCUUUGGAGAACUGAGGGAUUUCACAUGCUGAUUUCCAAAGGAACUACAACAGAGGGGUUAAGGAACAAAUAUUCAGCAGAAUGAGCUGUGAAACCUUGCUAGUAGUUGAGGAGAACCAGCCUUCAAAAAUGUUUGGCCUCAGAAUCAAGUGAGAAAGGAGUAAGAGAACAGAGUUAUGAUAAUUUCUAGAUCAGAAAGAGCUGCAGGUAUGGAUGCAACCUUUCCUUUCCUGUACAUCC